ACUCAUUUGGCAGCUAUCAACGGAGUAUUCACAGUACGCUGCUCACAGUUCUAACCGCGGAGGAUAGAGUUGAGGCCCACACGACAGCCCCUGCUCUCACAGAACUGAUGUCUCUAGAAGAGUCUUCCCUCAGUGAGAACGUUCUGAUUUCUAGAACAUUCUUUCUUCUGAUGAGUGAACAGCCUCACCGGAACUUCCCCAUCCUCCUGGCUUGGUUCCUGAAGUGGCCCAAGGCUGCCUUCUCCCUCCCGUGGGUGAACAGGGUCACUGCUUCCUCUCUUGUCCAGGCCCCCUGGCCUGACCCUGAGUCCCGGGCGUAACGGCGUUGUUGAACCACCACAACCCCAGGCGGCGCCUUCCUCUUGGCCCAGGGGCUCUCUUGGGGACAGUGUGCAGUACUCCCCAAGGGGGCUUUGCUGUGCAAAAGCAGCCCCUGCCGAUGCUGCGGCUCCCGUGGAUGGAGCACUGCCGUGGGAACAGAGUUGGAACUCAUCCAAAAGAAUAAAAGACAACUGUGUUGGAAGAUUGCCAAGGUUUGUAGCUGUGCCACCGCAGACUUCAGAGAUGAACACUGCCUUGGAGACGAGGAGGAUUCAAGUUGCAGAAGCAUUUAGAAACCUCAAACUUGAGACACGGUGGGAAAUCAGGAAGACAUGAGGCUUUGCUCAACACUGGAGAACACCAGUUCUUUUCAGUUUGUAUGCAUCUUUAUCAGAAACAGAUGUUGUUUUUGGUGAUGUAAGUUACCAGGGUUGGGGGUCUGAUCUGGAGGAACUGGGAGGUGAGUUCCAGCCCCUUCCCUCAGUUUCUCAUCAUUGUGGAGCAGUCUUGCCCUCUUCCUUCGAUCAAGCUUCAAAGCUUCAUGGCAACCACAUUUAAUGUUUAUUGCUAAUGUUAUUAGUUUCUAAUCAGAGCCUACUGCGAUUAUUACCUAAUAGCUAUUGCUUUGCACUUCCAACCAGAUGUCAAAAAUAAUGAGCCAAUAAGACUGCUAUUAAUUUAGACUGAAUGACAGUUUUAGGCCCUCGGAGCUGAAGAUUAGGGGCCUCAUAAAAGCAGGGCACAAAUAAUUCGAGUGCUCAAAAGUAAUAGCAAAAAUGGUGAGAAUGUGAAUUAAUAGGUAAGUGUUUCUAAUUUACAAAUGAAACAUGCAGCUUGAAAUAUCAACACUUCUCCUGCAUUCUCCUGCGAUGAAUGGAGCAGUCCUCAUGGAUCCCAGCCUCCAGGAUUUGGGUAGAAUGGCUCAGAAAGUUUGCUGUCUAUAGGAAGAAGAGAUGAUAUUAGCAUAGAUCUGUUUACCUGGUCCUAUUUGGUUCCAGUGAGAGAAUGGGGCCAGGUCAGCAAGUGCCUAGAAGAGACCUUCUCCCGGCAUCAAGCGUUCCAUGAAACGUGUGUCCAUUUUGCUGACAGGCUCUGGUGCAUUCUGAUUGACUUCCAGAUGCCUUUCCUGACAUGCACCCCAUUGUAGAUGAUUAUCCUCCUUCUAACUCAUGGAUGCUGUCAUCCUGUACACCAUUGGGUAUGGGAUGCUUGGGUUCAAAUCUUAAUUGCAUUAUGCUCUGAGGGUGUGACCUUGAGCAAGGUGUCCAUCAUCUCUGAAUCUUAGCUCCCUCCCCUUUUAAGGUGUCCAUAUCAAUAGCACGUAACUUGUAGGAUUACCACUGAUCAUUGGAAGAAAUAGCAGAUACAAGGAUCUCAGCACAGUGCCUGUCACACCAAUGAACUGGAGAAAUUGUCACUGUUGCUUAAACACUAGGGCUCUGUUUCUCCUUCACCUUGAUCAUUUAUUCCCUCUGUUUAUUCAUGCCUUUAGGUACCUAUUUAUCAAAGCAGGAGAAAAAUUUUAAAAAGUUCAUUUCUUUUCUUCCUCCAGUCCUCAUAUAUUAAUCUGUAGACCCAAGCCUGUUUCAUUUCACUUUGUUCUACCAUUUUAAAGACAAACAUUGUCCAAAGGCAUGCUAUGGCUCCUUUUGGUAUAUAUUUGUUUACCAUGGUCCUGUUUGGUUCCAGUGAGAGAAUGGGACCAGGUCAGCAAGUGCCUGGAAGAGGAGACCGUCUCCCAGCAUCACGCAUUUCUCCAUGAAAUGUGUCUCCAUUUUGCUGACAGGCUCUGGUGCAUUCUGAUUGACCUCCAGAUGCACCAGAGCCUGUCAUAUAAGGGGAUGGGGUACGGAGGCGGAGACCCAGUCUGUGCUACAAUACCUUUAGUGUCUGGUGGGUGUCAUGGAGGAAAGAGGUCCCCGAGUGUAAGGGUGGGGUGAGCAGGGAGCAGUAAGGCUGCAGAAGGAGAUGGUGUCCCGUCUGGCCUGAGAAGAUGUUGUUGGAGAGACAAGCUAAUUGCUCUCAAAUGGCUACCUUUUCCACUAGGCACACAGAUACACUCCAGGAUGGAAUGCAGGCAGAAAUCAUGACCUCCAUCCACCUUUAACUUUCCAAGGCCUGGCCCAUAAACCCUCCCUGUCAGGCUUCCUGGUACCUCUUCCCUGGCUGCUAGCUGGAUGCUGAGGCCCUGGGGUGCUGAGCCACUGGUGGAGUGAAGCCUGGGCCUGAAAGGCUGGGUGAAACAGAAGUCAUGGGAUGGGCAGAAGAUGCUGAUCUAGGCUGAUACCUGGCAAACCCUACCUUGUCCUGCCCCUGACACUGCAGAUCUGAGGACGCGCUGGGGGAGCCGAGCAUCCAGGUCAGUGAGUGGAGGGAAUUUUUGUCCAACGUGCACCUUGACAGAGCUUCACUGACCACGGGCGGUGUCUCCCUGCUGCCACGCAGCACACCUCUGACCACAGACCUCUCUCCAGAGCCACGUGUUUGCUUCUCACCUGACAGGCUCUGUGAGAGCCCAUCUGUGCUUCCCUGGGAUGUCUGACCGCACGCAUCCCCCACUGUGCAUGGGAGCCCUGCUGGGCCCUAACCUUCAUCACCCCCAAGUGGAUGGUCUCCAUUUUCCAAGCUGGCAGCUCACCCCCUCUCUCUGUGCCUCUGCUGCUGCGGUCCACACACCUGGAAUGCCCUCUGCACCCUGCACACGGCAUCCCCCCUCCUUCAAGCAUCGGUCAGAGGCCCCAUCCUCCUACCAGCUCCCUGAUCGCUCCAGUCUGGUGCAUUCAUUGUGUAUCAUUUCUCGCAGGCCCCUGGGUACAAUAGCUGUUUGUAUCCAUUGGUUAUUAAUCUGGGGGGAAUGGCGGCAAAUUUAUCUUAUAGUCCCACAGGUAAACUUUCUGAACCUCUGGUUUUGUCUGUAGAAUUGGUAUAGCCAUUCCUUCAAAAUAGGUGUUUGAAGAAUAUUCAAUAUUAAAACUAACUAUUUAUAAGUAUGUAAAGCUCCUAACAGAGUAUCUGACACAUAGUAGUAAACACACAAUUAUUGUCUAUAGCAGGUGCAGCCAUUUUCAAACGAAGGAAAAGAGGAAGGAAAGAAGGAAGGCAGAAAAAAGGAAGGAAGAAUGGAAAGAAUGGGGGGAGGGAGGAAAGGAGGAAGGCAGGAAGGAAGGGUGAGAAGAAGGAAGGAGGGAAGGGUAAGAAAGCUAAUUUUCUAGAACUUCCUUAACUGUGCCCCUCCCUGCUGUCAGACCCCCAUGGCUUUACCCAUACUCUGGGUUUUCAUGAACACACGGGCAUGUGCUCAACACCUUCUCCUUCCAGCUCCAGAUGCUUUCCUGCAGGUCUCUACCUCAGCUGGCCUCUUUGCAGGAAAUUAACGGCGUCUCCUACCUUCUGGCUCCCAGUUGCGCUGGGCCAGUGGGGCAUAUCGAAAGGAGAGAGAGAGACAGGGCAUUUAUUCUUGGCUUCUUCCCUGUGUGGUUGCCCAGGCUGGCUGUUCCUGACUGAAGGCCUCCUGGCCUGAUGGAGCUGUCUUUCCUCUUCCAGUGGCUGCUCUUGCCCCUCUUCAGGUGAAGAACAUGCUGGUUUCAGGUUGUGACUCACCCCGAGGGGCUUGUGGAUUCCUUAUUCCCAGCUCACAACGUUGUAGCCCUUUAUUAAACACCCCUAACACGUUCCAGAUAGUCUUCCUUCCAAGACCCCAAGGAACACACUCCAUACACGCCUUGUGCUUCAAAUCUCAGAAUCACUGUGUCAAGCAAGAGAAGCCACCCAGGAAACAUAUGUGGGUGAAGUCAAGAACAGGCAGGACCGACCUACUGUGAUGGAAGUCAGAACACUGGAGGUUCAGUUUUGGAUUGGAGUUGACUUGAGGAAACUUUCUGAGGUUUGGAAAUGCUCUGUAUCCUGUUGAGGGUGGUGGUUGUGUGAGUAUAUGCAAUGGUCAAAACUCAUUGAACCCAUACACACGUUUUAUGGUAUCUAAAUGAUACCCCAAUAAGAAGUAAAUACAUAAGAUUACAAAGGAAAAUAACUGUGUUAAAAUAAGAUUAUUAAGAUGUCCAAUACAAAGAAGAUCCUCGUAGUUCCUCAACACACACAGCAACACACGCAUCAGAAUCCUAGGCUCCAGAACCCCAGAGAUGCACUGUCUGGAUGGACCUCUAACAAAGCAACCCCUGAAGGUGCAGCACCCAUCUUGCCGCCCAGGCAAUGCCUCUUCCAAAGGAAUGUACAACUCUUAGAAACAGGGACAUGGUCCCUGGCACAAUCCUAAGCACAGAGUAGGUACCUAAAGCUUGAAACCAAAAGUCAGCCCUCACUUAACAAAUGGAUGAAGAGUCAAAUAGAUUCUUAUUCUGAGCUAGGCAGCAGGUUAGCUACUAGAAGAGCCUAGUCUUCAGUUUUUAAAUUUAAUCUCGUAAACUCAGAAGACUCGUUGGCUCUUGGAGGUUUAGAUGAAUCUGGCUCACCUCUCAACCCCAGGGGUUCAAAGCUUGUGAAAAAUGCUUUGUUUCUCCAGAGAUGCCCCUGUCUCUACUCCCUUGGCUGUGACUGUCAUCUCACUACUACCUCCAUGAUAAUCUGGGCUCAGAUAUCUGCCAUUUGGGUGAGAAAAUCUGCUCCAGCCAAGCAAUGUGUGCUGAGUGGCUUCAUGAAGGACAUUAGGGUGUCAUGGUGCAGGGUUGCCGCUGACUGUCUGAUUAUCAUCAGCCUCCAGUGUGCUCCCUGCAUGCCUGCUUGCAGUCCACUGACUCCUUUAACUUAAAUCCCAGUGGGUGACCUUCUAUACCCUAAGCAUUCACUUGGGAAAUGGAAACUAUUCAUUCUUCUUCUUCUUUUUUUUUUUUUUUUUUUUUUGAGACAAAGUCUCGCUCUGUAGCCCAAGCUGGAGUGCAGUGGCUCGAUCUUGGCUCACUGCAACCUCUGCCUCCCCGGUCCUAGUUCAAGCAAUUCUCCUGCCUCAGCCUCCCAAAUGGCUGGGAUUAUAGGCAUGCGUCACCAUGCCCAGCUAAUUUUUGUAUUUUUAGUAGAGAUGGAGUUACAUCAUGUUGGCCAGGCUGGUCUUGAACUCCUGACCUCAUGAUCCACUUGCCUCAGCCUCCCAAAGUGCUGGGAUUACAGACGUGAGCCACCACACCCAGCCAAAACUAUUCCUUCUACUUUCUCCCAACACAGUGGCCUCUUUCCGACUUUUUUUGAGUUUUUUUCAGGGAUCAACCAAGCUAGGCAAUUUUGCCUUUUAUACAAUCUCCUGAAAUUCUAGUGAAUAACUUUUUUUUUUUCUCAUCUUCCGAUAUCUUGUGAUGGUCCCAAUGCAGAUGAUCUGUCCAGGGGAUGGAUGAGGAAAAGACAAGAAAUGAUGCCCAACUGUGGCCUCCAGACUGACCUCCCCUGACACUGCUUACUCCAUAGGUGAUGGGCAGUACGCUCUUAUGAGACUUUAUUUGAGGAUCUGUUUCCAUGGUACAGGCUAGGUAGGGGACAUAUCUUGUCCCUUCUAUACAGGGCUUCUCAGUCAGGCUGGGCUACUCGUGGUCAGCAGAAGUUUUCAGGCAACUGGGAUACAGAAAGAGCUGAGUGAGGGUGUGAAGAUGGCGAGGAGGGCCAUGGAAGUUCCAGGCUGAGGCUUUGGCAACUCCUUCCACCCUCAGAGCCAGGGUUUACAGGUUUGCCCAUCCAUUUCUGACCCUUCUUCCAGGAGCUAGGAUUGGAAAGGAGUACCUGUACUAACUGGCUUUUCUUCAUUCUCUGACCUCAGUUUCUGGAAUUCUUUUUGGUGCAAUUUGCCCCAAGUUGUCCAUCAAGAGUUGAAGGCAAAAUAAAUGGAGGGCAGUUCAUCUCCCCAAAUCUUUGAGGAAUAUUGUAUUUCUUGCCUUUUCUCCACAGUACUUGGGCUCUAAUGGGUCGCAUGUAAUAGCUGCCUGUAGGGUCACACAUGCACCGGGGGAUGGGUGCAGUGUCUCUUCAGAGCCUCUGGCUUGCUCUGAAGAUCCCUUCUGACUGGAAUGGGAAACCUAACAAUUAUUUCUCCCUGUUGGGAGUUCAGGCUUCUCCAUAAGCUUUGGCUCUGGGGAUGUAAGCUGAACCUUCCAGACCUCUGAGAGGCUUGUCUCCUGGGGACAGCAGAUGACCAUCACCUUCCAUCUGUCUUCCUAAAUGAGCAAGAAUCAGCAAUUCUUGCAUGGGCUUAGUUUCUCUAGGGAUGUCUUGCUGGCAGUUGUUUUCUCAUCACCUUGCUCCAGUGGGACCUGGUCUUCCAAAUUGCAAGCAGGAGGAGUUGGCAUGCAGCUUACUGCCAAAAUCUCAGGAUGUUUUACACCUCGAGGUCUCUUCUUCUUCCUGGUGCUGUGUACUCAGAAACCUGCCACAUAGAUCACAACACUGUGCACAUUCCUGAAUGCUUGUGUGCUGUUGGAUAUUGUUGCCUGGAGACAGGGAGAGUUAUGACUUUUUGACCUUGUAUAAUUUUCAAUUCUGGACCAUGCAAUUUUUCUAUUUAUCACCAUUGCUUCUCCACGUCUGAGGCCUGACUCCUUGGGAACAUUUCAGCAGCUCAGAAUCCUCCUCUUCAAUCUGGCUGUGCCUUCUCGCAGAUGCCAUAUGUUGGCUCACAUCCAUGUGGCUGUGGCCAGUGGAUCCCAGCUUGCCUGGCAGUUACUCCUUAGGAGGAUACCAGGCUCUGGGGAGUCUGCCCCAGCAGGUGAAUCAGGAGAAAGGCCCUUCUCAAUGAUCAAAGUUUUUUGUUCCUUUUUCAGGAUUGUGUGUCACUUAAGAAGCUGCAGUAAUCACCCAUGGCCAGGAUUUCCUCUGGUUGGUGGGUUGAUGAGUUUAUUCCUUGUCAUGCAAUGCCCUGGCUAAGACACCACAGAAUGCUUUGUAUGUGUUGCUCUCUCUACCUGCCUGACCUGUGUGUUACUCCACACAUUUCCAUGUGAACCUCAGGGUUCUGUCAACCCUCUCCCCUGGCCCAAGCAACAACAUGGCCAGUGCAGAAACAGUCAUCUUUCUUCCUUGAGCUGUAGGUUCCCUGGUCUCAUAGUCAAGAUGAGGGUGGACUUAGACCCACUAUUAGACUCAAAAUACUGCAUUUUGCAUUGGGGGCCAGUUUAUCUGCUGGUCCAGUGUUCUGGGGCUGCUCAGAUGUCACUUGGGGCUGCUUUAGAUCCCGAAUAUUUAGGGAAACAUGGCUCAAGCCUUCAGUCUCAUGGACUAUAUGAGCCCAGAGCUCUCCCCACAAUUCCUGUGAAUUCUAACCUUGGGUCCUCAGGGUCCCAUGUGGACCCCUUUGCCAAUGGGAUGCAAAUUUCUGCUGGUUCACAGAUUUCCUCUAAAAAUUUUACUGAAAGCUUAUCUUCUGCCACUUCUGUGCUUUUUGUUGGCUUAUUUGUUUCGUUUUUUGUUUUUAUUUUUUUAGUAAAAAAUAGGCACUAUAGGCAGGUCAGCUUUCCAUAUUUUCCUUUUCCCAAUUAUGAUGAAUAUAGUUUUAUUUAUUUAAUUAGCUAAGUAUUUUUAUGUUGGACUUUGCAGCAGCCUCAAGUAUUAUUUCAGACUUGGCAGGCAGCAUUUCCUGCACAGGUAGGUGUGAAUUUAUAAGCAAGGAGGUUGGAGGUUAGUGGUGAUUAUUUAACACUAUUUGGCUUAACAGAUGUAAUCUAAAUAUAGAUAAAUGAGAAAAAUGAGAGUUAAAACACCUAUUUCCGCCAUUUGAACCAGCAAUCCCGUUACUGGGUAUAUACCCAAAGGAUUAUAAAUCAUUCUACUAUAAGACACAUACACAUAUAUGUUUAUUACAGCAGUGUUCACAAUAGCAAAGACUUGGAACCAACCCAAAUGCCCAUCAGUGAUAGACAAGGUAAAGAAAAUGUGGCACAUAUACACCAUGGAACCAUAAAAAGGGAUGAGUUCAUGUCCUUUUCAGGGACAUUGAUGAAUCUGGAAACCAUCAUUCUCAGCAAAGUUAACACAGGAACAGAAAACCAAACACUGCAUGUUCUCACUUACAAGUGGGAGUUGAACAAUGAGAACACGUGGACACAGGGAGGGGAACAUUACAUACCGGGACCUGUCGGGGGAUGAGGGGCUAAGGGAGGGAGAGCAUUAGGGGAAAUACCUAAUUUAGAUGAUGGGUUGAUGGGUGCAGCAAACCACCAUGGCACGUGUAUACCUAUGUAACAAACCUGCACAUUCUGCACAUGUAUCCCAGAACUUAAAGUAUAAUUCAAAAUAAAAAAGAAAAACAAAAAACACCUAUUUCCAUAUUUAUGUAUGUUUCCUCAAAAAGUACAAUGGCUUUUUUUCCCUCUACUUCUCAAACUUAUUUUUAUUAAAACCAUUGCAUUCUUAUUAUUAAGUAUUUACUCUAUGUGUAUUUUAAAUAAGACUUAUAAUUGGAUUAAAUAAAUAGUAUGUAGUAAGUUGCAAUUGUGACUUUGUUCAAAUUUCCAGAUAUUUUAAAUCACCACUUAAUGCAAUCCUGGCUCUAACAUUGAGGCAUAAGUAUAUUUCACACACAUUUCUUAUUCUAGGGGUUAGACUGCUUUCUAGGCAAUGUUCUUUCCAAAUAUUCAGCCUUUCUGAAGACUGGAUGUGAUUCUUUUUAAUUUUUUUUAAGAUGGAGUUGCACUCUUGUUGCCCAGGCUGGAAUACAAUGGCAUGAUCUCGGCUCACCACAACCUCUGCCUCCCAGGUUCAAGCAAUUCUCCUGUCUCAGCCUUCCAAGUAGCUUGGAUUACAGGCACAUGCCACCACACCUGGCUAAUUUUUGUAUUUUUCUUUUAGUAGAGACGGCGUUUCAUCAUAUUGGUCAGGCUGGCCUUGAACUCCUGACCUCAGGUGAUCUGCCCACCUUGGCCUCCCAAAGUGCUGGGAUUACAGGCAUGAGCCACCACACCCGGCCGGAUGUGAUUCUUUAUAGGAAUUUUCGCUGGAAAACUUUUUAUUUAACUGCUUAACCUGAAUAAAAUAAUAAUAAUGAUGAUAAUGAUAAUAAUUUCAGCCAGGUGUGGUGGCAUAUGCCUGUAUGCCAGAUAGUCUGGAGACUGAGGUGAGAAGAUCAUUUGAGCCCGGGAGUCCAAGUCCAGCCUGGGUAACAUAGCCAGAUUCUGUCUCUAAAAAAUAUAAUAAAAUAAACACAAAUUUUGCUUCUUUGACUCUUUCCAUGAGACUUAGAAGAAAAUAUAUGCAUAGCUUUCUGUUCCUUUCCUAGCCAACAGAACACCUCCUUCACAGUUUUGUGAUUAAAGAACAUGAUGUCCACCAUAUUUUUAAGUGAUAAUCUGCUCGUGUUUAAUGGUCUAUUGCUGCCUUUAUCUCUAUUUCUCUAUAGAUGCAUUUUUCAAACGUAAGAUGUCCAUACCAUUUUGUCUUGUUUACUCACUUAUCCUAAACAUAUUCCAGUGUUUCUCCAGAGUCUUCAAUAAAUGUAAUUAUUAACACCCAUAAUCUACCAUUCUAGCUGCAUUUACAACAAUCAAAACUUUUAUUUUCCCUUUAACAUCUAUAAAUGCAUUUGCACAAAAAGCUGCUCUUAGCCUGUGGUUUUAGGUGAGCUGCCUGGGUUGGGCUCCUGACUUUGCUUCACACUGGCUCUGACUUUGCAGAAGUUACUCACCACCCUAGUGUUCUCAUCUGUAGAAUGCUGGUAAUAAUAGUGCCUUCUUCAUUGGACUGGCUUGGGGAUCAAAUGUGUAAUUACUUUGAAUGCCUUUGGAUCAGGGUCUGGCACAGACUAACCCCUCAAUAAAUGUCGACUAUCACUGUUUUCCCAUGCUUACUUUUAUUUUUGCAAAUGUCUACACUGGAAAUCAUCACUAGUUCCCCAGGCUGCCUGUGUAUCUGUGUAGGUUGUGCAACACAUACUCUUAAUUCUUUUCACUCUUCACCGUUUGUGGAGAAUCCCCUGGAAACUCUACUUUCUGAUUUAAGUGGGUUUCCAGGUAGAGUAAAUUAAAGCAUCUUGGUGUGGAGGCCACCUGGCCACCUUGCCUUAAUUAUAGAAGUAACAAUAGCAUUCCCUAAGAAGACAGCUGCUGCUUCUGAAAAUUUAGGUGACAUGUGCCUUGUGGAACAUGCUUUGUGUGACAAGAAGCGAUUUAAUUUCUUUGCAGGUAGACACAAACAAAGAGGCAACAAAGAAAUUAGAAGGUUGUAUAAGAAGCUGCAUAGAAUCACAAUGACUGCGUUGUCCUGAAACCAACCCAGGUGACUUUCUGAAUAAGUUGGUGCUCAAUUAAUUUACUGUUAACUAGUACUCCUAUAGCUAGCUACAUUGCUUUCUAGUUCCA
rnacentral:lncRNA from 1 species